rnacentral:rRNA from 1 species
GGAAGACCAAGGGUUCCUGUCCAACGUUAAUCGGGGCAGGGUGAGUCGACCCCUAAGGCGAGGCCGAAAGGCGUAGUCGAUGGGAAACGGGUUAAUAUUCCCGUACUUGGUGUUACUGCGAAGGGGGGACGGAGAAGGCUAUGUUGGCCGGGCGACGGUUGUCCCGGUUUAAGCGUGUAGGUGUGUGUUCCAGGUAAAUCCGGUUCACUUUAACACUGAGGCGUGACGACGAGGCACUACGGUGCUGAAGCAACAAAUGCCCUGCUUCCAGGAAAAGCCUCUAAGCAUCAGGUAACAUCAAAUCGUACCCCAAACCGACACAGGUGGUCAGGUAGAGAAUACCAAGGCGCUUGAGAGAACUCGGGUGAAGGAACUAGGCAAAAUGGUGCCGUAACUUCGGGAGAAGGCACGCUGACACGUAGGUGAAGUGAUUUACUCACGGAGCUGAAGUCAGUCGAAGAUACCAGCUGGCUGCAACUGUUUAUUAAAAACACAGCACUGUGCAAACACGAAAGUGGACGUAUACGGUGUGACGCCUGCCCGGUGCCGGAAGGUUAAUUGAUGGGGUCAGCGCAAGCGAAGCUCCUGAUCGAAGCCCCGGUAAACGGCGGCCGUAACUAUAACGGUCCUAAGGUAGCGAAAUUCCUUGUCGGGUAAGUUCCGACCUGCACGAAUGGCGUAAUGAUGGCCAGGCUGUCUCCACCCGAGACUCAGUGAAAUUGAACUCGCUGUGAAGAUGCAGUGUACCCGCGGCAAGACGGAAAGACCCCGUGAACCUUUACUAUAGCUUGACACUGAACAUUGAGCCUUGAUGUGUAGGAUAGGUGGGAGGCUUUGAAGCGUGGACGCCAGUCUGCGUGGAGCCGACCUUGAAAUACCACCCUUUAAUGUUUGAUGUUCUAACGUGGACCCGUUACCCGGGUUGCGGACAGUGUCUGGUGGGUAGUUUGACUGGGGCGGUCUCCUCCUAAAGAGUAACGGAGGAGCACGAAGGUUGGCUAAUCCUGGUCGGACAUCAGGAGGUUAGUGCAAUGGCAUAAGCCAGCUUGACUGCGAGCGUGACGGCGCGAGCAGGUGCGAAAGCAGGUCAUAGUGAUCCGGUGGUUCUGAAUGGAAGGGCCAUCGCUCAACGGAUAAAAGGUACUCCGGGGAUAACAGGCUGAUACCGCCCAAGAGUUCAUAUCGACGGCGGUGUUUGGCACCUCGAUGUCGGCUCAUCACAUCCUGGGGCUGAAGUAGGUCCCAAGGGUAUGGCUGUUCGCCAUUUAAAGUGGUACGCGAGCUGGGUUUAGAACGUCGUGAGACAGUUCGGUCCCUAUCUGCCGUGGGCGCUGGAGAACUGAGGGGGGCUGCUCCUAGUACGAGAGGACCGGAGUGGACGCAUCACUGGUGUUCGGGUUGUCAUGCCAAUGGCACUGCCCGGUAGCUAAAUGCGGAAGAGAUAAGUGCUGAAAGCAUCUAAGCACGAAACUUGCCCCGA